ACCUUUGCUGCGGGCUACACAUGCAGUCGAGCGGCAGCGGGUCCUUCGGGAUGCCGGCGAGCGGCGGACGGGUGAGUAAAGCAUGGGAAUCUGCCCGGUAGUGGGGGAUAACUCGGGGAAACCCGAGCUAAUACCGCAUACGUCCUACGGGAGAAAGCAGGGGAUCUUCGGACCUUGCGCUAUCGGAUGAGCCCAUGUCGGAUUAGCUUGUUGGUGAGGUAACGGCUCACCAAGGCAACGAUCCGUAGCUGGUCUGAGAGGAUGAUCAGCCACACCGGGACUGAGACACGGCCCGGACUCCUACGGGAGGCAGCAGUGGGGAAUAUUGGACAAUGGGGGAAACCCUGAUCCAGCCAUGCCGCGUGUGUGAAGAAGGCCCUAGGGUUGUAAAGCACUUUCAGUGGGGAAGAAGGCAUGACGAUUAAUACCCGUCAUGAAGGACAUCACCCACAGAAGAAGCACCGGCUAACUCCGUGCCAGCAGCCGCGGUAAUACGGAGGGUGCAAGCGUUAAUCGGAAUUACUGGGCGUAAAGGGCGCGUAGGCGGCUUGCCAAGCCGGAUGUGAAAGCCCCGGGCUCAACCCGGGAACGGCAUUCGGAACUGGCAGGCUAGAGUGCAGGAGAGGAAGGUGGAAUUCCCGGUGUAGCGGUGAAAUGCGUAGAGAUCGGGAGGAAUACCAGUGGCGAAGGCGGCCUUCUGGACUGACACUGACGCUGAGGCGCGAAAGCGUGGGUAGCAAACAGGAUUAGAUACCCUGGUAGUCCACGCCGUGAACGAUGUCGACCAGCCGUUGGACCCCUUGAGGGUUUGGUGGCGCAGUUAACGCAAUAAGUCGACCGCCUGGGGAGUACGGCCGCAAGGCUAAACUCAAAUGAAUUG
rnacentral:rRNA from 1 species